rnacentral:lncRNA from 1 species
AAUAAUUAUGAUGAGGAUUUAUUUGUAUGUGGAUAUUGUCUAGAUGGCAAUAUCUGUAUUUAAACUCACAGUUUUACUAUUGUAAUAAUAAAGUUGUAGUUGUUUCUGUACCGUGUAUUGACAACUCAGAAUGAAAGAUGUAAACCUAUUUUGGGGGUGUCACAUCAAAUUCUCGGGUUGAUAUAUAAUAUCAUAAAUUACUAUCAAAUUACGUCAGUCAAACUUGGAAAGUCAUACAUUAUAUUACAGCUAAUCCUCAAGUGUAAA